rnacentral:tRNA from 1 species
GCGGAUGUGGCGGAACUUGUAGACGCCCUGGAUUUAGGUUCCAGUGCCGAAAGGCGUGGGGGUUCGAGUCCCUUCAUCCGCACCA